rnacentral:rRNA from 1 species
UCGGGAAUUUUGGGCAAUGGGGGAAACCCUGACCCAGCAACGCCGCGUGAAGGAUGAAGUAUUUCGGCAUGUAAACUUCGAAAGAAUAGGAAGAAUAAAUGAUGGUACUAUUUAUAAGGUCCGGCUAACUACGUGCCAGCAGCCGCGGUAAUACGUAGGGACCAAGCGUUGUUCGGAUUUACUGGGCGUAAAGGGCGCGUAGGCGGCAUGACAAGUCACUUGUGAAAUCUCUGGGCUUAACCCAGAACGGCCAAGUGAUACUGUCGCGCUAGAGUGCAGAAGGGGCAAUCGGAAUUCUUGGUGUAGCGGUGAAAUGCGUAGAUAUCAAGAGGAACACCUGAGGUGAAGACGGGUUGCUGGGCUGACACUGACGCUGAGGCGCGAAAGCCAGGGGAGCAAACGGGAUUAGAUACCCCAGUAGUCCCUGAGCGGGCUGGCAAGGCGCAU